UCUAACCCCUCCAGUUUUUCCUUGCUCUCUUUUCCUGCUUUCCUUCCAUUCCCUUGUUUGUGUUCUUGUUUUUGGAUGUUCAAUUGUCCCCUCGAUCUCCCAUUACGCGUGCUGCCUUUCUUAUUUUUGUUUCUUCGCUUUUGUGGGACGUGCUCUUCGCCCAUCUCCCAUUGCGGGGAUUUUUUUACCACAUUCUUAGCUUCUUUCUUCACAUAUUAGGGAUUUUGCUUUCUAAGGUUUUGAUUCUCGUAAGAUAUUGAUAGAAAAUCAAUAUAAGAUCUCUAACAACAGAGAGUUUGAUUGUACUUUUUUCGUCGCCGAUUGCGGUGGUGGCUCUUAUUUCUCUCAUCUUUGAAGGCUUUUCCUAUCGUCGUUGUUCUCGGUUGUCAGGAAUAGGAAACCAGGUUUUGUUGGUGAAACAAAGGGUUGUGAGAAUCAUGCAAGGUCAAUAUAAUGGUGAGUAGAUACAGGAAUGGAAGGCAAAGCUUUGAGAGCGAGAGGAGAGGUUAUGAGGAUCAGGUUCAAGAUAAUGAUGCUAAUUCUGAGCAACUAAGUAGGAAAAUGGAUGUAAAUGAAGGUAAUCAACCCAAAGGUGAAGUGAGGGGAUAUAGAAAUGGAAUGGUGUGAGAGGAGAGAUUCUGGUGGAAGUAGAGGAAAAGGUAGGCUAGAGUACAUUAAGAUUGGUAGUGGUAUGAUGGUGUGAGAGGAGAGAUUAUGGUGGAAAUAGGGGAAAAGGUAGGUUGGCGUACAUCAGGACUAGUAGUGGUAAAUUUAAGGAGAAUAACGAUGGUGAUGCGCAAGAUGUUAAAGUUGACCGUAUAUAUGGUUCUGGAUGUACUUUCCACUUCCCACCUCCCACGAAUUCCUGCACGGUUGACAAUUCAACCUCAAUGUCUAGUAGAGAGGAGAGAGAUAUAAACAACAAUGGCGUGAUUUGUCUCAAGGUCUUUCCUCAACGCUAUUGGAUCUCCUUCCAUCCAAUGUUACACCGCCUCCUUCGCCGCUGCACCUAAUUUCCGUCCGUAAUUCUCACCGCCAAUCAUUCACGAACCCUAGGUACCAAUUUAUCCUUUCAUUUUCCAAUUCACAUAUUUCCCCCAUAAAUUUUUAAUUGAAUUCAUGUAUGAAAGUCAAAAUCGUUCAGCAGCCUUAUCGCUUAAAACCGAUGCAUAACAUGGUGGUUGACGCCCGAUUGACAUAAGGCAUCGUAGUACACCAUCGCAAUUUGGAUGGUGCAGGCGUGUGCACGUAGCUCUAGGUGCACCGGGAUUAAAACGACCAACAUUAAACACAAAACGCGCGUUUUCAUUAAAUUCCCAGAAAAAAGAACAAUGCCCUUGAACAAAAGAACACCCCUGAACAAAAGAACAUUAAAGGCUCUGUUCUUUUCAGUUAUGUUUAUCGCGUUUUUAUUUGAUUUUUGUUAUUUUUGCGAUAUAUAUUCUUCUGGGUUUUAUGUUUUGAAUUCAAACUGUGAAGAGGAGAGAGAAAGUCUAGGUUUUCUAAAAUGGGUUUUAGAGAGAGAAAUUAAUGAAAAUCCCCAAAAAUUCGUUGAUUUUUCUGCUUCAACAUCAAAUUAAAUUGAUUCUUCUUCUUCAAAUCUGAAUUCUACAGCUGAUAAUCAGAUUUUGGGAGGUAAAAUUUCAAUUUUGUAAUAACAAAUGGCAUGUUUUGAUGAUUUUGAUUUUGUAAUAGUUGUGUUUUUGAUGAUUUUGACUAUUUUGAUUUUGUAAUAAUCGUGUUUUGAUGAAUUUGAUGAUUUUAAUGAAUCAAAUUAUGUAAUAACACGCUGAUUUCGUUGAAAUCGUUGAUUUUGAAGAUUUUGAUUAUGUAAUUACGAUUUUUUCCAGAAAAGAACAGUUUUACGUAUUAAAAGAACAUAUGCUCGAAUGAAAAGAACAAUUACAUUAUGCUCGUAUUAAAAGAACAGUUUCAUUAUAGUAGAAAAAUAGACCAUUUGCGUUUCAUAAUUUGUUCUUUUAUUUUAUUGUGUUCUUCUUUUUUAUUAUUUUCAAUUUUAUUUGCAUUUCAUAACUUGUUCUUUUUAUUUUAUUGUGUUAUUUUUCUUGUUAUUUUUUAUUUAUCCUUUGUUAUUUUGAUUGCGUUCUUUUUCUUGUUUUUAUACAUAUUAACCUAUUAUUUUUUCAGAUAUUAUGAAUAAUGUGCUUGAUAAUUCAUAACAGAAUGAUGAAAAUGAUGAUUCCGAAUCAUAUGUUAUUGUGGGACAAAGUACUUGACUUGUUCUUUUAGUCUCUAUAUUUGUUCUUUAAGACUUUUCAUUUGUUCUUUUCAUAAUACUCUGUUAAAAUAACAAAAUAAAAACAUGUGCACGGUUCUCAUUAUGCACUCCUUUAACAAUUUUUCUUUUCUCCUUCUCUGUUCUUCAAUUCUUUGAUUCUACUUCCUAUUUGUUCAUUUUCUAUUUUUCAGCAACUAUAUAUAUAAUAAUUGUACUUAUGAGUCAUAACCAUUAGUCAUUUUAGAAAUACAUUUUGGAGAGAGAGAGAGAGGGGAGAGGAUUUAUAUUCUCUCAACAUAAGAGAGAUUUUUCGAGAGAGAAAGAGUGAGAUGGUAAAUGAAAGAGUAAAAAAAUACAUUUUCUCCUUAUUCUCUCUCUAAAAUUCCUUCUGAAUGUUUCUCGUUUGUUGAAAAUGAGUGAAUUAAGAAAAACACUAGUUCAAUGUUGAUGCUCCUGAUAAAUGUUGAUCAAGUGUUUAAGGUACGUUUCCUUGUUUUUUCAUCUAAUGUUCUUUUCGGAUUGUUAUGUUCUUUUUCACAACUUUAUUUUUACUGUGUCAUCAACAUAGUUUGUUCUUUUAUAUCAACGUACAUAGAUUGUUAAAAAAGAACAUAUAAUGGUUUGAAAAGAACAAAUAACACUUAAAAAAGAACAUAGUCUGAUUCGUGGUAAAAGAACAAAUAUACUUUUUUUUAAAAAUAUAGAUUUAGUUUUAAGUGCAUCAAAAAAUCGUCGUUUUGUCUUUUUAAUUAGAACAUAAAAUCGUUUGAAUAGAAAAAAUAACACUUAAUAAAAGAACAUAGAUCUUAUGUGUGGGAUAAAAACAAAAAUACAUUUAAAUAAAAAUAUAGAUCUAGUUUUAAGUGCAUCAAAGUAUCGUCGUUUUCUUCUUUUUAAUUAGAACACUAAUUGGUUUGAUAAGAACAAAUACAACUAAUAAAAGAACAUAGAUUUGUUGUUCUUUUCGUCCCUUUCAUUAUGUUCUUUUGUUUGAUAAGGAAAAAGAAAAUGAUGUUCUUUUUUCAUGUGUUCUGUUCUUUUUUCUUUUUUUAUUGUGGUUUUUUUUUUUUUUAGUUUUUGUUAUUUUAUUUUUCUUCUAAUUUUGUUCUUUGUGUUUUGUAAAAAUGUUGUUGUUCUUUUUUAUAAUUAUUUUGUGUUCUUUUUAAUUUUUUUUACAGUUUUUUAAUAUUUAAUAAUAUUAUCGAUAAUAUGUAUUUUUUUUUUUUUUUUUCUAUUGCAUUUUUCACACGAUGUUCUUUUUGAAAAAUAGUUGUUCUUUUUAUAGUUAUCAGGAGAGAGAAUAUGUUAUUUUUAUUUUUGUACAUUUUCUUUAGUUUUUUGACAUUAGUGUUCUUUUCAGGUUUAGUUAAUGUUCUUUUUGUUUACUCUAGUUCUUUUUAUUUAGUUUUUAAUGUUCUUUUUCGUUUUUUUGUUUUUUGCGUUUUCUUUUAAUGUUUUUGCGUUUUG